UUUUUGUUUCAAAGAAAUGAAUCCCUAUGGGUCCCUCACCUAUUUUCUCCCUCAGGAUGACUUUUAGUCUGGAGAUAGAAGGGACAUAAGGGUGCCUCUGGCAUAAGUACAGGAGUAGAAAUAUAAGAAUUACUUUGUAAAAGGAUAACCAAGGAGUUCCUGCACAUGCUUGAUGUGGCUCUAGCGACUUAUUUUCGAGGCAAAGUUUUAACAAAUGAAAACGAAUAGUACUUAUUUUUCAAUUAUAUGGGCUAAAUUAAAGAUCAAAGGUAAAAGCUCAUUUUAUAAAGCUCUGCUGAAUGAAGGCAGGAUUGUAGUUUAUGCGCUGGUACACACGCCCACAUUUAUAUACAUUAUAGCCAUAUCUAUAUCCAGGUAAAUUAGAAAAAUGUUUAAUUUUAUUUUCAUAUUACUUUAUAAGGAGAUAUACAAAUAUUUUAGGGAUCAUGGAAUCUAUUCCAGAGGAAACUAACCAACAGUGAGCAUCUUCAACUAAAACUACCCCUGGAUGUAAUAAGUGUUGCAUGCAUCAUUCCUUUAAUUGAGCAGAGUUAACUGGAUCAAAUUAUUUAUGGGAGAGAGAGGAAAAGUUAUAAAGAAUUAUAGUAAUUUUUAAUUUCCACCAAUAUACUCUUUGUAAGUGAAUCACUCUAUAAUUACUUUCUGUUGCACUGAAUGCAGCAACAAUAACACAAUAGUAUUUUAAGGCACUGGUUUUUGGCAUACUCUAACCUUGUAAUUAUUUAAAUAACAGCCAAGUUUACUCAUGUUUUUGAUUCUGUCAAGAAAAAAAAAAAGUUCCUUUACUCGAAAGUGAUGGCCGAAACAGAAUCGGAAAUUUGUUUUCUUGAAAUUACAUAAAUACACAGAAAAUGGCACUUAUUAGCUUUUGUUAAAACAUUACCUUACCUAAUCACUGCAUAAAAGUCCAGAUUUGUAGAAAAUUGUAAUUUUCUCAGUAUCUAAAACUAUUUUGCUUUCCAUUAAGUUUCUAUUUGCUAUUUUCUCAGAAUUUUACAAUUAAAGAUAAAUCACAAACUGUUUGUUUUUCUUAAAGUUCUUUGAGAAAAUGUCUAAUUAUACAAUCCUUGGACAAUACUGUGUUUUUUUGGUGCUGUGUUUUUUAAGAAGUCCUACUUACUGGAAUUUUGACUAUUUGGA
rnacentral:lncRNA from 1 species